UGCGGAGGGAGGCUCAGGUGAAGUCCUGUUGGCUGUGGCCACAGUUCCCGGCCAUUGUGCUGGAGGGAGUGAGAGCAAAAGACUCGCACGUUUUCUUUCCCUCAGCCUAGCAACACAAUCCCAGGAAGAAAUAGAUGAGGAUGAAUUACAAGGAAGACGAUUCAGUCCCAGAAGUCAUCCUGCUCUGUAGCAUCACACAGGAGAGGCAGCCAAAGGAUGACUUUUGUCAGCGCUAGGAUGAAGGAGAAGCGCUUCUGCGCUAUGGUCGCUGCGAGGCUCCUGGUGCCAAAGAGAGUCCUCUUCGGGUUCUCACGCCCGCAGGCUCCGGUUCCAACAGCAGCGCCGCGCCCAGAACCUCGCCCGGCCGAAGCGGGCAGACCGGGUCCAAACCCUGGGUCCGAGCUCGGAGAGCAGGUCGCAGAGCACCGCGGGGC